rnacentral:rRNA from 1 species
GACGAACGCUGGCGGCGUGCUUAACACAUGCAAGUCGAACGGAAAGGCCCUGCUUUUGUGGGGUGCUCGAGUGGCGAACGGGUGAGUAACACGUGAGUAACCUGCCCUUGACUUUGGGAUAACUUCAGGAAACUGGGGCUAAUACCGGAUAGGAGCUCCUGCUGCAUGGUGGGGGUUGGAAAGUUUCGGCGGUUGGGGAUGGACUCGCGGCUUAUCAGCUUGUUGGUGGGGUAGUGGCUUACCAAGGCUUUGACGGGUAGCCGGCCUGAGAGGGUGACCGGCCACAUUGGGACUGAGGUACGGCCCAGACUCCUACGGGAGGCAGCAGUGGGGAAUAUUGCACCAUGGGCGGAAGCCUGAUGCAGCAACGCCGCGUGCGGGAUGACGGCCUUCGGGUUGUAAACCGCUUUCGCCUGUGACGAAGCGUGAGUGACGGUAAUGGGUAAAGAAGCACCGGCUAACUACGUG